AACGAACGCUGGCGGCACGUUUUAAGCAUGCAAGUCGAACGGCAGUGGGGGCAACCCCAUGAGAGUGGCGAACGGGUGAGUAACACGUAGGUGAUCUGCCUUUGGGUUGGGGAUAGCUUGUGGAAACACAGGGUAAUACCGAAUGAGCUGACGAGGCUUUGGCCAUGUUAGUAAAGGUGCUACGGCACCGCCUAGAGAGGAGCCUGCGGCUGAUUAGCUAGUUGGUGGGGUAAAGGCCUACCAAGGCGGCGAUCAGUAGCAGGCCUGAGAGGGUGUACGGCCACACUGAAACGGAGACCCGGUCCAGACUCCUACGGGAGGCAGCAGUUAAGAAUCUUCCGCAAUGGGCGAAAGCCUGACGGAGCGAUGCCGCGUGAUCGAUGAAGGUCGAGAGAUUGUAAAGAUAUUUUCCAACUGAGGAAUAAGUGGACCAGGGAAUGGGUUCAUGAUGACGUUAAGUUGGGAGUAAGCCCCGGCUAAUUACGUGCCAGCCGCCGCAGUAA
rnacentral:rRNA from 1 species